rnacentral:rRNA from 1 species
UACAUUAGAUACCCCUGUAGUCCCAGCCGUAAACUAUGCUCGCUAAGUGUCAGGCAUGGCGCGACCGUGUCUGGUGCCGCAGGGAAGCCGUGAAGCGAGCCACCUGGGAAGUACGGUCGCAAGGCUGAAACUUAAAGGAAUUGGCGGGGAGCACCACAACGGGUGGAGCCUGCGGUUUAAUUGGACUCAACGCCGGGAAGCUCACCGGAUAGGACAGCGGAAUGAUUGUCGGGCUGAAGACUCUGCAUGACUAGCUG